rnacentral:rRNA from 2 species
CGACCGAUGCACACAUCCUUGAGUGUCUAC